rnacentral:rRNA from 1 species
GACGAACGCUGGCGGCGUGCUUAACACAUGCAAGUCGAACGGAAAGGCCGUGCUUUUGUGGGGUGCUCGAGUGGCGAACGGGUGAGUAACACGUGAGUAACCUGCCUUUGAGUGUGGGAUAACUUCAGGAAACUGGGGCUAAUACCGGAUAGGAGCUCCUGCUGCAUGGUGGGGGUUGGAAAGUUUCGGCGGUUUGGGUUGGACUUGGGGCUUAUCAGCUUGUUGGUGGGGGAGUGGCGUACGAAGGCUUUGACGGGUAGCCGGCCUGGGAGGGUGACCGGCCACAGUGGGACUGGGAUAGGACCAAGAGGGCAACGGGAGGCAGCGGUGGAGAAUAUGGCACAAUGAGCGGAAGCCUGAUACAGCAACGCCGGGUGCGGGAGGACGGCCUUCGGGUUGUAAACCGCGUUCGCCUGUGACGAAGCGUGAGUGACGGUAAUGGGUAAAGAAGCAACGGCUAACUACGUG